rnacentral:rRNA from 1 species
GCCCCGGUAAACGGCGGCCGUAACUAUAACGGUCCUAAGGUAGCGAAAUUCCUUGUCGGGUAAGUUCCGACCUGCACGAAUGGCGUAAUGAUGGCCAGGCUGUCUCCACCCGAGACUCAGUGAAAUUGAACUCGCUGUGAAGAUGCAGUGUACCCGCGGCAAGACGGAAAGACCCCGUGAACCUUUACUAUAGCUUGACACUGAACAUUGAGCCUUGAUGUGUAGGAUAGGUGGGAGGCUUUGAAGUGUGGACGCCAGUCUGCAUGGAGCCGACCUUGAAAUACCACCCUUUAAUGUUUGAUGUUCUAACGUGGACCCGUGAUCCGGGUUGCGGACAGUGUCUGGUGGGUAGUUUGACUGGGGCGGUCUCCUCCUAAAGAGUAACGGAGGAGCACGAAGGUUGGCUAAUCCUGGUCGGACAUCAGGAGGUUAGUGCAAUGGCAUAAGCCAGCUUGACUGCGAGCGUGACGGCGCGAGCAGGUGCGAAAGCAGGUCAUAGUGAUCCGGUGGUUCUGAAUGGAAGGGCCAUCGCUCAACGGAUAAAAGGUACUCCGGGGAUAACAGGCUGAUACCGCCCAAGAGUUCAUAUCGACGGCGGUGUUUGGCACCUCGAUGUCGGCUCAUCACAUCCUGGGGCUGAAGUAGGUCCCAAGGGUAUGGCUGUUCGCCAUUUAAAGUGGUACGCGAGCUGGGUUUAGAACGUCGUGAGACAGUUCGGUCCCUAUCUGCCGUGGGCGCUGGAGAACUGAGGGGGGCUGCUCCUAGUACGAGAGGACCGGAGUGGACGCAUCACUGGUGUUCGGGUUGUCAUGCCAAUGGCACUGCCCGGUAGCUAAAUGCGGAAGAGAUAAGUGCUGAAAGCAUCUAAGCACGAAACUUGCCCCGAGAUGAGUUCUCCCUGACCCUUUAAGGGUCCUGAAGGAACGUUGAAGACGACGACGUUGAUAGGCCGGGUGUGUAAGCGCAGCGAUGCGUUGAGCUAACCGGUACUAAUGAACCGUGAGGCUUAACCUUACAACGCCGAAG